rnacentral:tRNA from 1 species
GCUCCCGUAGCUCAGUUGCAUAGAGCGUUCGCCUCCUAAGCGAAAGGUCGCGCGUUGGAAUCGCGCCGGGAGCA